GGCCUGGUGGCCUAAUGGUAAGGCGUUGCUUUCCGGUGGUGCCUUAAUGGCCGUGAUUGGCAAAGAUUGCGGGUUCGAGUCCCGUCUGGGUCG
rnacentral:tRNA from 1 species